rnacentral:tRNA from 1 species
GGGGUUGUGGCUCAGUGAUAGAGCUCACGCUUUGCACUUGUGAUGCAAUGAGUUCGAUCCUCAGCACCACA